rnacentral:lncRNA from 1 species
GAGAGCUCUCAUGGAUUGGGCAUUUAAAGACAGAUCUUAUCUCAUUUCAGCUACUUUUACUCCUAAUGCCAUUUUAGCCUAACAAAAAGAAUCAUCGUGUCCCAAGCAACCACAAAAGAAGCAAAACAAGGUCAAUCACUCAUAUUUAAAAUUGACAUAUGAAUAGUUCCCGGGUGAAAACAUGACUUUCUUUUUGCUUUUCAAAGGGUGCCUAACAUCCAAUUGAACCCGUAUACUUAAAUAAUUUCUUAGCCCCUUACCCAAGUUCAUGCUAUCAUACUCUAAAAAUUUCCUAAGGAAAUGACAUAUUUGUCUUGCUAAAGAUUUAGUAAAAAACAUCAAUGGUACAUCAUGAACUUGUGCCCAAAAAUUAAAAAGAUUAGUCUCACCUACAUCGGAUCAUCCCCUUCUCCAAGCGAUGAAUCAUCAAAAAAAAAUAUUAUUAAACGUCCAUGGAGCCCCUUUUUGUACUCGCUCCAUGUCCAUUUUGUGAAAAAAAUUGAACAAAAGCCUUUUCUCCCUCAAAUUUGAGAUCCGAACCCCUCUAACAGGAUGUCAUAAAUUCGCCAUCGUACUUCUCACUGCCGGAAAGUGGGUAACACUUGAUAUAAGAAAGCAUCUUACCAGGCAAAACUCAUAUUCCUCCAUCGCAGAAUCAAGAACCUUCCGUGCUUGCAAAAUCUCUUCUUCCUUAUCGUCCAAUGGUAAAUCAGCCAAUAUGAUUUGAGAAUAAAACAAAAUCACUCCUGAUUAAGAAGCUCCGUCACCAAGAUUUAAGAAAAACACAACUAAAACCUAGAAAAACCAAAAACAUGCUAGAAACAGCAGACCAAAG